rnacentral:tRNA from 2 species
GGCCGGAUGGUGUAGUUGGUUAUCACGUACGCCUCACACGCGUAAGGUCCUGGGAUCGAACCCCAGUCCGGUCA